AAGUGGAAGCGCCAGAACUUCUAUGGAGUUGACGAGGACGAAGGUGAUCGAGAUUUCGGCGGAUGCCUUACAGUCGCGUGUCACGACUGAGAGAGUUUUGAUAAAACGUUCGGGUGACCGGGCGGACAAAACGAG
rnacentral:ncRNA from 1 species